rnacentral:rRNA from 1 species
UACGUAGGGUGCAAGCGUUAAUCGGAAUUACUGGGCGUAAAGCGUGCGCAGGCGGUGAUGUAAGACAGGUGUGAAAUCCCCGGGCUUAACCUGGGAACUGCAUUUGUGACUGCAUGGCUAGAGUGCGGCAGAGGGGGAUGGAAUUCCGCGUGUAGCAGUGAAAUGCGUAGAUAUGCGGAGGAACACCGGGUGGCGAAGGCGGGAUCU